rnacentral:rRNA from 1 species
UAAGGAAUAUUGGUCAAUGGACGCAAGUCUGAACCAGCCAUGCCGCGUGAAGGAUGAAGGCCCUCUGGGUUGUAAACUUCUUUUACAGGGGACGAAAAAAGGGAAUUAUUUCUCACUUGACGGUACCCUGGGAAUAAGCACCGGCUAACUCCGUGCCAGCAGCCGCGGUAAUACGGAGGGUGCAAGCGUUAUCCGGAUUUACUGGGUUUAAAGGGUGCGUAGGUGGGUAUUUAAGUCAGCGGUGAAAUCUCCAGGCUUAACCUGGAAAUUGCCAUUGAUACUAUUUAUCUUGAAUUAUCUGGAGGUGAGCGGAAUAUGUCAUGUAGCGGUGAAAUGCUUAGAUAUGACAUAGAACACCAAUUGCGAAGGCAGCUCACUACGGAUAUAUUGACACUGAGGCACGAAAGCGUGGGGAUCAAACAG